UCCUUGAGUAACCUGUUUUCUAACCUUACUAGAUCAUCUCUAAAACAGAUCCCGUAUUUUCAUUCAUAGAGAUUGAAUUUUAUGAGAUAAACAUUUAUGAGGAGCUACCUUUUGUAAGGGUUUUUGUUUCUGGUUUUUUUGGGGGGGUGUAUCUGCUUUUUUUCAAUGUAUUGAUGUUCACUUAUUGGUGGUAGUACCAUUGUUUUGAAUGUGUAAUGUUUAUAUGAGAAAACAAAAAGCUGAUGUAUAGCCCUGUACACAGUGUAGAUACUAUUUUUGUAAAAAAGAAAAACAAAAACAAAAAAACAAAACUGAGGCUAAAUUAAUGAACAAGAAUACUGAAUGUCUCAUCAUUAAAAAUUUCGUGUAUUUCUUGUGCAUUAAUCUGACCAUGAUUUCCCUGUAUAUUAUGUUCAUGUAACUGAGCUUGUAAUUUUCAUUAACUAGAUCAAGUUACCAGCAUUUGUUGGUGUAAGUGAACAUUACAGUUAAUCCUGAGUUGAAUUUAAGCCAAAUAUACAUAAAAAGGGUCUUCAUACUAAUGGAAGAUGAUUUUUAGGUUGUGUGUUAAUUUCAGUUUUGUAUGUUUAACUUUUAUUAAAUAAAGUGUUUUUAAAAUCUCCAGGGUGUGUUAACAGCAUAUGAAUCUUUAGCUGCCUAUGCUGGGAGCGUGGUUAAGUAUUAUACUUGCACAUAGAAUUGCUGUGGCAAAGAAUAUUGAGUGUAUGACAGGUUUCAGUAAAUCCUUAAGCAUUCCUCCAGUAGACAGAAAAUUGUAUCCUAACAGGUGUACCAGUCUUAUUUUCAGGGCUUGUGCUGUCUAUGUUUAUAAAUUAUUGGUGGAGAGGGAAAGUAAUCAUUUGUGAAUGUUACUUUUCUUUUUUUGGUGAUAUAUUGAAAUUUUUAGGGUGGUUGAUGAGGUAUUCUUGCAUCACUUCAUUCCAUUUCAAUGCUCUUUCCUUUUUUUCCUCUAACCAUGUAGGACCAAAAAGGCAUAAUUUGGAUAAAGGACUAUUUAAGCUGUGGAAAUUUACAACUAAAACAUAUUAGUAUUCAUCUUUUUACUAUUGCAACUUUUUUUUAAAAAAAAUAACUUUAUUUGAAUAGCAUAGUUCCAGAGAUAACUUCAUCCAGUGGUUCACUUCCCAAAUGGUUGGGCCAGGCCAAUGCCAGGAGCCAGGAACUCCAUCUGGUCUUUCACAAGGGUGGCAGGACCUCUCCAUAGUUGGGCCAUCAUCUACUGCCUACCCAAGAACAUUUGCUGAAUUAGAAGCAUAAUGACCAGGUCUUCAUCCAGCACCCCAGGGAUUCCAGUAUCAUUACGCCAGCAACCUUAUGGCACAUAUCUUCUCAGCAUGCUAAUAAUCCUUGAAAGACUAAGAAAGUCCUUUGAAUUAAAAAGUUCUGGAGAGUAGGUGUUUAAUCUAGUAGUUGGGACACCAUGUCCCCAGAGUUAAUGCAGCAGUGAUUACUAAAGUGACUUGAGUUCUUGCCAUCCAUGUGGGAGACUCAUAUUGAGUUCCAGCUUAAGUCCUGGCCAGUGGAAUAUUAACUAGCAGAUGAAAAUAUGCUGUCUUCCAAAAGAAAAACAUAAAAAUUGUCGAUGAUAUUUUUAGAAGGACUGUUUUUGAGAGGGGGGGAACUUAGCGUAAUUAUGUGACCCCAGAAAAUAGCUUUUGUUGAUUACCUUAUGUUGAAUUCAACAACAUUUUCCUUGAUGUUCGUAUGCAGUACUGUUACAACUUGUGCCUUGGUUAAUUUUCCUUGGGGAACUUUGCAGUGGGAGAGGGAAAAGGAAUAAAAGUAGCCACGUUAGAGCAUUCAA